CAAAUGCGAUACGCAAUGCGAAUUGCAGAAUUCCGCGAGUCAUCAGAUCUUUGAACGCAAAUGGCGCUGGGUUAACCAAUACCCCAGCAUGUUUGUUUCAGUGUGUUAGGAAUCAUAUAUCAUAAUGCGAUUGAUGUGUUCUUAAAAAAGCAUAUCUCUCGUUAAAUAUGAAAGCGCUGAAUCGUUCAGUGCCGACCGAAGUAGUCACUUCUUAGCAAGUGAUCUCGGUUGUUGCAUAACUGAGGAUUCACUUAAAAGCGCUCUUUAUAAUAAUAUUUAUUUAUUAUUAUUAUUUCUCCAUUCAACACCUGAAAUCAAGCAAGAUCACCCGCUGAACUUAA
rnacentral:misc_RNA from 1 species